rnacentral:lncRNA from 1 species
GCAGGCACAGCGGUGCGACGAGAUGCUGCUUCUCAGAGCUGCUGUCCAACCUGCACUCGCGUGGGAACAAGAAGACACUCGUGGAGGCGUCGGCAGAGCAGGCAGACCAAGGAGUUCAUCUUCUCAGAGCUGCUGUCCAACCUGUACUCGCGUGGGAACGAGAAGACACUCGUGGAGGCGUCGGCAGAGCAGGCAGACCAAGGAGUUCAUCUUCUCAGAGCUGCUGUCC